GAAGGAUCAUUAGUGAAUAUUAGGACGUUCAAUUUAACUUGAAGUCCGAACUCCCACUUUCUAACCCUGUGCAUUUGUUUUGGCUAGUAGGAUAUCUCGGUAUCCGAACACCUCUUCAUUUACAAACACUAAGUCUAUGAAUGUUUAAAUUUUAUAACAAUAUAAAACUUUCAACAACGGAUCUCUUGGCUCUCGCAUCGAUGAAGAACGCAGCGAAAUGUGAUAAGUAAUGUGAAUUGCAGAAUUCAGUGAAUCAUCGAAUCUUUGAACGCAUCUUGCACUCUUUGGUAUUCCGAAGAGUAUGUCUGUUUGAGUGUCAUGAAUUCUUCAACCCUCCCUUUUCUUAGUGAAUUGAGAGGAGUUUGGAUUCUGAGUGUUGCUCCCAAUACGAGCUCAUUCGUAAUACAUUAGCAUCCAUAUUCGAAUUUCGGAUUGACUUGGCGUAAUAGACUAUUCGCUGAGGAAUCUAACUUCGGUUAGAGCCGUGUUUGAACUAGGAAGCUACUAAUCUAGCUUAGUCUACCUUUAGAUUAGACCUCAAAUCAGGCAGGAUUACCCGCUGAACUUAA
rnacentral:misc_RNA from 1 species